GACGAACGCUGGCGGCGUGCCUAAUACAUGCAAGUCGAACGCAGUGGGGACGGGUGAGUAACACGUGGGUAACCUCCCAUCAGAGGGGAUAACACUUGGAAACAGGUGCUAAACCGAUACUGAUGGAUGGACCCGCGGUGCAUUAGCUAGUUGGUGAGGUAACGGCUCACCAAGGCCACGAUGCAGAGCCGACUGUAGAGUGUGAUCGUGAACACGAGGACUGGAACACGGCCCAGACUCCUACGGGCGUCAGCAGUAGGGAAGCUUCGGCAAUGGACGAAAGUCUGACCGGGCAACGCCGCGAGAGUGAAGAAGGUUUUCAGAUCGUAAAACUCUGUUGUGAGAGAAGCGGUAUCUAACCAGAAAGCCACGGCUAACUACGUGCCAGCAGCCGCGGUAAUAC
rnacentral:rRNA from 1 species